rnacentral:rRNA from 1 species
UACAGAGGUCCCGAGCGUUGUUCGGAUUCACUGGGCGUAAAGGGUGCGUAGGUGGUGAGGUAAGUCGGAUGUGAAAGCUCCAGCUCAACUUGGAAAUGGCAUUGGAAACUACCUUGCUAGAGGGUUUGAGGGGGGACUGGAAUACUUGGUGUAGCAGUGAAAUGCGUAGAUAUCAAGUGGAACACCAGUGGCGAAGGCGAGUCCCUGGAAAACUCCUGACACUGAGGCACGAAAGCUAGGGGAGCAAACAGG